rnacentral:lncRNA from 1 species
UAUCAAAGCCGCCAGUUCUUUCGCAUUUAAGUGACAUUUAAUUUAGAUUUACAAAAUACAAAAACAGAAAUAAUUCUGAUUUCUCCUGAGAAUUUUAAAGAAAAACUCAAAGGGAAUACAUUCUGCUUUAGAUGUGCUUAUCCAGCUCAAGAAGAAACAACUGAAUGAAUGCAUGAAAGGAAGGCAGGACAGAACCUGCUCUAUUCAGAUACUAAAAGGUAAAUUAAAGGGAUUUCUCUGAAAACUUCAUUUACUGUUUUGAAACCAA